AAAGAUGCAUCUCUCUAGGAAGAGAGAUCACAUGCCCCUCUCUCUCCUUCUUCCCUAUCAUUCAAACUCCUAUGCACAAUCCCUAUGCUAAACUCCAACUACUUCUCUGCAUCUCCCAUCUCCUCCACCCCAAAACCAGCCAGAUUUUAUAUUUCUCAAUUUUUACCACCCUAUCAAUCAGCUCAACAAUGUCCUAGCCUUACCCUAAAUAGCUAGAUUCAACCAUUUACUUGCACAAAGGUUUUCAGAUCCCUUGAAGUUGAAAUAUAAAUUUCAAAUACAUGGACUAGCCUCAUCUACAUCUCUAAUUCUUGCCCAACAUCUCUUUACUGCAGAAAAAUAUUCAAAUUCAAUCACAAAUAAUUGGAUUUCCUCCCUACUCUACUUAUCUUUUCUAUCUCCUAUAAUUUUUAAAGAGAUUAUGAUUAUUUUUCUUAUUUUAUUGCUUGAGAUCUAAAUAGUGCAUUUUAAAAACUAGUUGUUCCUUCAAUGUUCACUAUAAAUAGCGCCUCAACUAUUCUCAAUAAGGAAGGGAAGAAAGGGAUCAAAAGAGGUUAGAAAAGGUGAAAAAAUGAGUGGAAAAUAGUGGAUUUUAGGAGUGAUAGAGGUGAGAAAAUCACAAGAAAAAAUAGAAAAAAGUAGUCUUAAGAAUCAAAAGUUUCUUUUUAGUUUGGGUGAGAAUUCAGAGUUGAGUUUUAGCCAUCGGAGUUUUCACGUUGGCGCCCAGUUUGCUUCACAACACAAGGUACGAUUCGUCUUUUUGGGUCACUUCCAUCUCUCUUUACCUUUCUAUUUGGGUCUGUAAGCAUGUUGUUUAGUUCAACUUUUGUCAAAUUUCAUAUCGAUGUGGUUGAAAAUAGACUCAUGCACAAGUUUUGAUCAAGUCUAAAUAGUUGUAGAUUCAAAAAAUCAGGUUUGGAAGUGAAUUUUUAUGUUGUUUAUGUUGUCAUUAGUUUUGAAAAUUUGACCAUGAUACUGUGGAAAACACGUUGGUGUGAAAAUCACCUUAUUUUUCUUAAAUUAUGUAUUUUUCAAAGUACGUAUAUGUGAGUUUAUAUUGUUGAGAACCACCCUUUUCAGUUUGUUUUCAUCUUACUUUUCUUCAGCUCUUUUCUGUUAAACAUGGGGUUCACUUUGAUUUCUUCUUUGUGUUGUUAUUUUGGUCUUGCAAAUAAAUGAUAUAAUUUUUUAAUCUGAAAAAAUCAUUUGGUGGAUGAAUACAUAAAUGUGUAAAUAUGUAUUUAAAUGUAUUAAUUUUAUGUAAGGCUACAGAUUAUUGUAAUCUUUCUCAAAAUUGGAUGAGAGAUGUAUCUUCAGGGCUGAAAGCUUACUACUACAGUUACUUGGGUCUGCGAAAGCAUCAAAGAUGGUUAUGUAAAUAAUUGAAGAGUAAUUCCUAUCUCGUUUUGAUGAGAUUAUCAUCUCCUUUUUUUGUGCGCGUAUGAAAGAAGCCCAUUUCGAUAUACAUUUCCACUUUUCUCGCUUAAAAUCCAUGUAUCUGGUUAAUGUUUUUCUUUGCUCUCAUUGGAAGUCUGGAAUCUGGUUUUGGUGCUUGUGAUUUUUAUUUCUUCUAUUCUCUAGAUUAGUAAGGAAAAAAUUCAACCAUGAAAAUUUACUUUCAUUUUGCGGCUGCUUUGACGUCCAAAUAAGUGAUGUUACAUGAAUUUUAACCCUUUAUUUUACUUUGUUGGACAUGGGACUAAUAUAGUUGGAAUCAUCUCCUCAAUUAUUAUUAAGUGUAAAGACUAAUCCUAGAGUUAAAAGUUUGUCUUCUUCACAGAUUCAGAUUCAUAAGUUUUUUCCCUUCAUUUUCGUGGUUCUACAUGAUGGUCUAGUGUUGGUUAGUGUUGAAAUGUGACAGAACUAUGAUUUACUAAAUUUCGUUAAGUCUUAAUUUGGUUCAUUUACAUAUUAUCCAGUUAGAGAAGGGUUUUCUUUUCCCCUUUUAUCACCUUGAAUUUGAUUUAGCCUAGAAAUCAUACAUAUUAAUACUUGUAUCUUGGGUCAUUCUUUGUAACUAAGCUUAGAAUUGGAUUUUGAUAUUUAUUUUUGUCUAAUACAUGGCCAUUUUGAAUAUAUAAAAUAUGAAACUCAAUUUUUAGUUUCACUUUACUAUAAAUUUGAGUUUGAGAAGAUGUGUGAAUUGAAUGUUUUCCUAUGUUCUUACAUUCAAGCAUGCCUACAAUACUGUGUAAGGUUUGUUUAUAAGAUCUCAGUCAAAUAAGUUUAAAAGACCACCUGAAUGCCUUUUCUUUCUUAUGCAUCUCUCUCAAUUUCUCUCAAAAUUCUCUAAAAUUUAUGGCUUUGCAUUGCAUAUCCAAGUUUCAUUUCAUCCCUUUUGCAUUAGUUAGUUUGGUAAGUUGUCUCAACUCUCUUCAUUUUGAUACAAUUGCAUGCUUAGAACGUGUAGUUUAGGUAAAGACUUAAGUUAAUAUUUUCAUGGCAAAAUGUAUGCUUGUUGAUAAUUAUUAUGUGGUUAGUUGUUGUUGGUGGUGUACAUACUCAUAAAAAAGUCUUGAGUACCCAGAAUUAGGCCUAAAACUACUUGAAUAGAAGUGUGCACCAUGUGUUUGAUUUACUGCCCCAAAGAGUUCAAUUUAAUUUCUUUCAAGUCUAGGGCCAUAAUCAUUCAUUCUAUGCUUAAAUUCUCGAUGUAUGAUGUUGGUAUGCCUAGUUUCAACAAAGAAUUGUGAUUAAAAUUGUCUUUUGAAGAGUGUGCAGAAUAUUUCGACUAAGGUCUCAAGUAUUGCGAUCGCGGUCAAUGAUCUGCGAUCAACAUACCCGAGGGCAGUGUCUGCAGGAACCAAAAAUUUCUAUACAUCCAAUUCUACCCCCAAAACCUUUUGUAACACUACCACAUGUAUUUAUCUUUUUGAUCUAGCUUGUUUUUGGUAUAAUUAUACUAAUAAUGGCCAAAAGGGCAAUGUUUAUAGGUUCUAAGCCUUAGAGAUAGAAGAAUUUGACAACAUCAGUUUCAUGGCCCCAUAAUUCUAGGACAUCUUCUACGCAGAUAUUCACAAAACUAAGUUACUCUCUAAAAGGGAUAUCAACUUAGACAAGGUAGAGGAGAAGCUCCUAGGAUUCCAUUCUAGACUCUCUGAAAUCGGGUAUAGGAGCUUUGCCCCGGACCCCUACAAAGAAAAUGAGUAGUGGGUACAGGAGUUCUAUGCCAACCUAAGCAUAACUUCUUUCACAAAUUCAGUAAUGACUAUUAGGGGAAAUCAAGUGAAUUUUGAGACAGAGAGAAUCAACGAGGUUCAUGGACUCCCAAAUACUAACAUGGAGAAGUUUUAUGCAAAAUCAUGUGAGCUAGGGACCUGGAUAGAAAAUAUUUUAUGUCUUAGCAAAAAGGUUCCCUCGGCCACUACCAAUAGAGAUAUUCUUAUGAAUAAAUUUACAUUUGAGGCCAGGCUUUGGCUGAAUAUCAUCUGUAGCCAAGUAUUACUAUGCACUCACAUGACCAUUGUUACAAACUUGCUAGCUUAGAUGGUGACCUAUUCUAUCUAUGACAUCGCCCUAAAUAUGGGCGAGAUUGUGCGCUCAGAGUGGAGGUACUUCAGAAAUUAUGGAGGUACACAUCUUCUCCUUCUUUCUAUUAUCAUAGAGCUAUGCAUGAGGGCACAAGUGGAGGAAUAUGCUAUAGAUACUUGGGUACUCCCAGGUCCUCGCAUCUUUCAACACAAGUUCAGGGGUGAGGGUGACCCAAGUCAGAGAAAAAAAGGAAAGUUGACUCUGACAAAUCAACCUAAGAGGAAAUAGACUCUUGUAGACCUUCAUCUGUCAACUCUCUCAAUAACAUAUGAGGUCAGAUACAGGCGGUUAGGGAGCUAUUAUCAAAAUUGCCUCAGGAAUGGGGAGAGCCAUCUACUACUCGCCACUCGUACGUAGCUCAGUCGGACUAUGAGAAAUAUUAGAAGUAAAAGAAGUAGGGAGACACUAUCACCUUUUUGGAGAGAGCUUAUUCAACCUUAGCUACGUCAUAUAGGGACUUCAUGGAUUCAUAUAAGAAGAUAGUAAAGAGAGAGAAGAAGAGAGAUAAAUUCUUCAAAAGUUGGGGAAGGGGAUGAAGGGCAUCUUCAAGGUUCUCAAGCCUAAUCAUUGACUACCUUUACGUAAGAUUGACCAUGAAGAUAAGGCCCUUGCUGAUUGGUCUACCGAUGUUGCUAAUGGUGAUGGUUCAGAUUUAGUAGGAGAGAGCAACUCUUGAUGCAGAUUCAGGGAGACCCUCUUACUCUUUCGUUAUUCCACACACAGUGAGGACACUACAGUCCUUUUUAGUUGGGGUUGCCCCAAAUUUGUAUUGUUGUGAUGUUGUGUUGCUGUAUAUUUUAUAUUUUUGUUGUUGUUUUGGGAUGCCAUUUUAGAUAUUAUUUGGGUUUUGUUUUGAGAUGCUACAUUUUUGGGGACUCUAAUUGUGCCCAUAUUUUAUGGAUUAUCCUAUUUUUUUUUUGUUUUUCUUCUUUCUAUAGUUUUAUUUAAAUUUUGAUGAUACAUGACUAGCUUUGCCCUAUGAUUGAUUAAAUGACAACAUUCUUAAGUGUAAAGCAUCAUGAUUGGGUUUUGAGACAUAGACGUAGGGAAAUUUNNNNNNNNNNNNNNNNNNNNNNNNNNNNNNNNNNNNNNNNNNNNNNNNNNNNNNNNNNNNNNNNNNNNNNNAAUUUUGAGUUCUUAUGGCAUUGUUUAUUUGGGAUCACAUUAUACACCAUUGGCAAAGUCUGAGUAGCCAUAUUAGUGGUUUGCCCAUUUUGAGCCAAAAUAUGAGGCUAAGGCUUUGGUUGUUGCCACAGUAUAGCAAAUUAUGUGUGGUGCUAAUGUAAAAUGAACAACCCCCUCCAUCCAAAAUUUUUCAAAAAUAAACAGCAUGGACAUGAAUAAUUUUGUAACAAAACUUUUUAUCUAUUUUGUUACUCAAUAAAUUUUUGACUUGUGAAUAGAAAUAAAUACUCCAAUUUUCUCUCUAGCGGGAGGGACAUUUGAACACCCUUGGCUAAUUUUGCAUGCCAUGUGUGGUGAUCCAUUUACAUUUAUAGCUUGUAUACUUGUGUUAUCUAAAAGUUUUCCCAUUAGUCUUUCAAAGAAAAUUUUGAUUGUAGUUGGUUGGAGAAAUGACCUUAGGCCAUCUUUAUGACUUUGGAAUCCACUCUAGCCUAAAAAGUCUACCUGUGCAUAAAGUUAAUCCCUAGUUAGCCACUUUGAGCAUUUGGACCUUUCUUUGACAAACUCAUUACAAACCAUGAACCAUUCUUUUUAUUCCUCUUUUGAAUCGUACCCUUCUUAAACUUGAAAAUGCAACUCGAGGCUAAAAGCCUAAGUUGGGGAUGGUAAAGAUUGACGCAAGUAAGUUUGGGUCCACAAAUUCGCAAGUGAAAUACCUAAUGAGCCUUAGCAUUAAAAAUAAAUGAAUAUAAAAAAAAUGAUAUGACAAAGGAAUAAAUUACAUGUAAGCUGCAAGAAAAAUAAAUCAAAGAAAAUUGGUAAACAAUGGAAGCAAAAAAUAGGCAUGAGAAAAGAGAGAAAAAAAGGAGUGGCCCAUAGUCAAAAAGGUUGAUUAAAUAGUGUGAUAUAGAUGUUCAAAGAAGGGCAUAGCCAUGUUUUCCUAAAUAAUAUCGUACCAUAGCCCGAACCUAUGUUACAAGAUUAGAAUGUCCUUUGAGAUUUCCAACCAUUUACUUUCUUUAUAGUGACGACUGAAAGUAGGGGAAAUCCUAUGGUAUGACACUCGUUGCAUAGAGAUUUCUUAUUCGAGGGAGAGAGUUUUUAUACUUAAUAGUCCUUCUUGCAUAUUUGGUAUCUUGGUGUAUGGAAUUCUCUUUCUUUGAGGUUGGCAUAUGAAAUAAGUUGAGGUGGGUAAUUUCGUCACCUCCCAAGGAAUGAAGCAAGUGGUGUAAAGAUUAGUUGUGGUUAAAAGGGAGUCACUUCUAGAGUAUUAGUUUUUGUUGCUUGGUUUCUCUUUGAAGUCUUCUGUACCCUUAGAUAUGGCAUUUCAUGACGAGUGGUGUAGUGAAAAUUAUCUCAGCACAUUUGUAAUGAGUUACUUAUUAUAGUGACUAAGAUUAAAGUCAUUGUGAUCUUUAAGGCGUGAAGUUUGGGCAUCGAUGAUUUGAAUGAAACAUAAUUGUGCUUAAAUGCACUAAGAUCCACACUUUGUAGGUAUAGAGUUGAUGAGAUAGAAUGAUGUAGAUUGGAGCUUAAAAUGAUCAAAAGGAUGCAAGAGAAGUGAAAAUGAAGACCUAGAGUAGAAUGGCCGCAGUUACUGAGGUCGCGGUCUGGUAACCGCGAUCGCGACAAUCAUGUGCGGUCAAUCAACCACGGUCAUGUGAACUGCUAGCGGUUGUGGUAGCUGUGGUUGUGGCCAAGCUGGUAGGGUCGCAACUUAGCGGAAGAUUGCAGCCCAAGGGAAAAACUAGAAAUACACAUGGCUGAUCCCAAUUUUGACAAAAAGGCUCAAACUUUAGAAUUAUUCAUCAUAUUCCAUCUUUCCCAAAUAGUUAGGUUUUGUUCUUGAGUUGAUCACCUCCAUUGUUAGAGAAGAAAAUAUUGUAUAGUUUUUGGGUGAAUAAUACUUUGGAGACCUUCUAAGUGGAGGAAUAGCUCACUUCUAUUGGAGAUUUUUGGGAGUUCAAAGUUUUAGGAAACAUUCACUUUAGCUUCAAUAAACCAUUUUAAUGGAGUUAUGGAAAUAUAUUUGCUUAUUUAUCUUAUGUGUAGGAUCUACCUCUUGGCGUUAUGUGUGAAUAAUGAUUUAAGUGUGCGUGAUUUGGUAUUGUUAUCUUCUAUUUGGUUGUUCAUGUUGAUAGAUUUUAUCAUUGCUUGACUAGUUUGUUUGGGAUUUGUGGGCGAAAGCCUUAAAUAACCAUAUGGGUUUGAUGGGUGAAAGCUCUGAACUCUAGAAAUUUCAAGGCCAUCUUCAAAAGAAGGUUUUUGGAUGAAUUUUAGGAAUCCACAUCAUCCUUGAAAGAAGGAUGUAGAGACCAAAGCAAUGAUAGACAAUUAUGUGUAUAGUUUGCUAAUCUAUGACUAUCUUAGACAUAAGAGUGGUUGCGAAGUAGACUAUACUAUGAGUAUUAUCCUAGAAAUAGGGAUUCCUAAAUUAAGGUUUGGUUACCAAUUGUUGAGCACACAUACUUGGUAUUCGAAAGAAUCAAUGGGUGCAAGUUUGGGGUUUUGCUAAAAGACUAGCUUCAAAGCCUAUAACCGAAUCUACCCACACUUGAUCUAAUAGAAUAAAGUUAACUAUUAGCAUCCACAUGUCACCCCUUAUUAAUACAUAAUCCCAAGAUCCGUACCUAAUUGAUAAAACUCUAAUUAUUUGUAGUCCCGAAUUUAUACUAGAAAAUAGUAAAAAGAAACAUUAUUGUAGGUUCCUAUCUCCCCUAUUUGUAUCUUUUUGUACUAUUGGCUUGAAUUAUACUUAUAUCUACUAUUUUAAAUUAACUUGAUUUUCACUCACAUUGUUCCUCAUGGAUUCUACCCUGACUCUAAAGUUGGGUAAAUUUAUUGAUGACAACUGCCUUGCACUUAAAUUGACGUGUAAGUUGAGCGUUAUCAGACUGUAGUACGUGUUCACUAAAAAUGAGAUUAAUAUCAGGCAGAGAAGGUGACUUGAGUUUCUAAAGAACUAUGAUAUAAGUCUUCACUACCAUCCAAGUAAAGCUAAUAUAGUUGUUGAUGCUUUUAGCUGGUUUUCCAUGGAAAGCUUAUCACAUGUGGAUAAGUAUAAGUGGGAAUUAGUGAAGGAUAUUCACAAUUUCGCUAAUAUAGGAGUUCAUAUCUUGUACUCUAAAGAUGGUGGUGUGUUUGUGCAACAGGGGGUGCAAUCAUCUCUUUUUUCGGAAAUAAAAGAGAAAUUUGUAUUAGAUCUUCUUUUGGUGAAGAUCAAGCAUGAUAUAGGUACACAGAAGGUGCUAGACUAUGUGAUUAGCGGUGAUGGUAUCUUGAGGUACUGAGGGACAUUGUAUUUUCCCAACAUAGAUGUGUUGUGAGGAAGGAUUUUUUCCAAGGCCCAUGAAUCACAGUAUAACUUUUUAUCUAAGUGUAUGGUGUGUCAGCAGGUACAGCUGGAGUACAUGAAACCCGGUGGGCUACUUUAAGAGAUUAAAUUACUAGUGUGGAAAUUGGAUGUAAUUAAUAUGGAUUUCCUUACUGGUUUUCUGUGGUCAUGGAAUUAGCGUGACUCCAUUUGGUUCAUCAUAGAUAGGAUGACUAAGUCUACUUACUUUUUGCCAGUGAGGACAAAUUAUUCUAUCUAGGACUAUGCAAAGUUGUUCCUUCAAAAGGUUGUGAAGUUGCAUGGUGCACCGAUCUAGAUUAUUUUUGACCGUGGUACUCAAUUCUCAUCACAUUUCUUGCACUCUUUUCUACAUGGUUUGAAGAUUAAAGUGAGUCUUAGUACGACGUUUCACAUGCAGUCGGAUGGGCAAGCUAAAAGGACUAUUCAGACUUUGGAAAAUAUUUCGCGAUCCUGUGUGAUUGACUUUGGUGUGUAGUUGGCUCGAGCACUUGCCUGUCAUUGAAUUUUCCUAUAAGAAUAGUUACCAUUCUACUUUGGUAUGGCCAUAUUUGAGGUAUUUUAUGGAAGGAGUUGUAGAUAUCCUAUUGAGUUGUUCGAGGUUGGUGAAAGAGAAAUGCUUGGGCCAGAUUUGGUUCACCAAGCUAUGGAGAAAGUGAAGGUGAUUCGAGAUAGUGUUAACACCGCCCAAAGUCUCGAAAAGUCCUAUAUAGAUGUAAGGAGAAGGGACUUGGAAUUUGAGGUUGGACAUUGGGUGUUUUUGAAGUUAUCUCUCAUGAAGGGAGUGAUGUAAUUCAAGAAGAAUGGGAAGCUCAGUCCCCGGUAUGUUGGCUCGUAUUUGUAUAUGAGGAGAGUUCGUAGUGUUUCACAUGAGUCGGAUUUUCCCUCUAGCAUGACUUCCAUUCAUUCGGUAUUCCAUGUGUCCAUGUUGCGGAAAUACAUGGGUGAUCCUUCGUUGGUUUUUUCCUUAGACAACAUUGGUAUUUCGAAUUGUUUUUCCUAUGUGGAUGUCCCGAUGAGAAUCUUAGAUAGGAAAGUUUGUUGGUUGUAAAUGAAAGACAUAGCUUUAUUGAAAGUUCUAUGGCAGAACCAAGAAUCUGAGAAAGCUACUUGGGAAGCGGAGGAGGACAUGAAGUCCAAGUAUCCGUCCUAUUCCUGAUUUCGAAAAUUUGUGCUUGGGGUAUGUGUUGUUCCUAACAUCUUUGUUUUCCAACUUUGUUAAAGAAAAUAUUGAUUUCCUUAAUAUAUUUGUUUUAUAAAUUUGUUAAAGGUUUGAGUAGAGGUAUAAUAAGUCCAAUCAUGCUUGUGUUUCCUUGACCCAUCAUUCGAGGAUGAAUGAUCCUAAGUAGGGGAGACUGAAAUGGCUUGAAAUUUGGUCUUUGCAAAUUCUAAAGCCUUGAACUUUCUGUUCAUCAGAAGACUCACACCAAAAGUCAUAUGGUGUGGUGAUAGGUCUAGGGACCCUGGUCUUAUGUUGGUCAGAAUGUUUCUGACCAAGUUUUGUCCUAGUAAUGAGAGACUCCAUAUGAGUCGUAUGCUUAUGUAAUGAGAGAUUUAGGGUCAAAUAGUAUGUUGUCUAAUGUCUAGCCCUUAAUGUUUUACCUUGGAUACAACUUAAUGGUACUAGUCAUAUAGUAUGGUAGGGAAAUGGAGUUGUUAGUUGGACAGAAUGUGACGAAUUGAAGGUACCACUCAUAUGAUGUGGUGACGAGUUGGAUGGUCAACUCAUACCCACCUGCGAGUUUUCAGUGACUUUUAGGAUGAGGGUAUUUUUAACUUUUCCCACCCAAAGCCUUUAAGAACCGACAUCUUAUAAUACUUAUUGGGUAUUCGUUCUAUAUUUUAGAUGAUUAAAACACUCCCUAAACACUCUCUAAGAACCUCUCAAGAAGAUUGGGCUUGGUUUUAUUCAAGGUGGUCAUAUAGAAGUCUAAUGAUUAAAUUCUCUCUAUGAAUUAUUGUAACUCAGACAUGUGACUCUUUCUUCCUUGUUAGUUCACUAAAAUCAUGUGUUUUAAACAUUGUUCAUAAAUCAUUAAUGGUGGUUUUGAAAACCAUGGUUAAGGGUUUGAAUUCAUAAUCUUGAGUAUAGUUUUCUUAUGGUUUACAUUACGAUUAUACAUGUUUAGAUAAUCUUAAGUAUUGUGAUUUAAACUAAGCGGUCAUGGUUAACCCUAACUUUAUGUGUUUCAACUUGAAUAAUGGUUUGAUAAUGGUAUGCCCUCAACCUGUUUGAGAAAUUAUCUAUGAGAAUUAUUUUGUACAUGUUUAUUUGUGGUUGAACUAAGACAUUAGCCUAAUAAUGUAAGUGGUUGGUAAAUUGGUUUUAUGAAAACCUUGUUGGCCAUAAAUUGGUUUGAAUUGAUAAAUAAGCUCGAGUCCGUAAAUAUUGAAAAGAAUUGAUGUCUUUGCUUUUACAAUGGGUUCGAGUCCAAAAGUUGAUUAAUAAUGGUUAUGGUAUGUUGUACGAUUGCAAGUGGGGUGGGUAUGACGAUACCAAAUGAAUGCCUUUGGUAAGUAAUUUGAUUAAUGGUUGUGUAUAUGUGUAAUGAAUGUUUUAAUUGGAUUAUAAAGCAGGAUGUGUAGAAGGGCUAUGAAAGUGAAGUCUGUAGGACAAACACUGGAAACUACACUAGCUGGUCCGGGUGUCUAUAUGAUCAGGAUGUUUGAGUCUGCCAAAUAAAAAUAUGAAUGGGAGGUUCAAGUCCCCCAUAUUGUAUAUAUUAGUACUUAAGUCACCUUGAUUAUGACUGGAGGUCCAAGUCUCCCAUAAAGGCAUAUAAAGAUAUAGAUACUCUCUUGUUCAUGCAGCUAAAUACACUGGGGCCCUUCCAACUGGGGGAGAGCUGGGAGAACAUAUAGCUAUUGGGUGCCGUACUAUAUGAUGAUUAUUAUACAAAACCAAGAUUAAGAUUUUUUAAAUGCAAUUUAAGCCUUGUUUCCAUCCCAGCAUAAUAUAUAUGUAUGGAUUUAUAUGAUUGCAUAAGGUCAUUUGGCUUGGUUUUUAAUGAUGACAUUAUUUUCUUCUUCUAUACCUGAGUUGCAUGCUCACUCAAACUGCUAACCAUCUUCAGAUGUUAUAUCUCAAUGCAAUACAG
rnacentral:lncRNA from 1 species